UACGUAGGGUGCAAGCGUUGUCCGGAAUUAUUGGGCGUAAAGAGCUCGUAGGUGGUUUGUCGCGUUGUUCGUGAAAACCGGGGGCUUAACCCUCGGCGUGCGGGCGAUACGGGCAGACUGGAGUACUGCAGGGGGAGACUGGAAUUCCUGGUGUAGCGGUGGAAUGCGCAGAUAUCAGGAGGAACACCGGUGGCGAAGGCGGGGUCUCUGGGCAGUAACUGACGCUGGAGGAGCGAAAGCGUGGGGAGCGAACAGG
rnacentral:rRNA from 1 species